GAGAGAGGCAUUGUAGCAACGAGAACUGCUAAUUCUCGCAACCAGGGUUGAAUCCCCCGGCUCACUCG
rnacentral:tRNA from 1 species